CUGUGGGAUCCAGGCCCUUGGCCCUUGGUGUGCGGUUAGAUCUCUUGCACUCCUCUGUAUUUGACUUUUUGGGUGACUAUUAUAAAAUAAUCCUAUAAAUUAUGUGUCCUGUAUUAAAUCUGUUCGCUUGCCAACCCUGACUAUAGCAGUAAUGAUGGGUGGGAGCUAUAGGAUGGGAUGCAUGCCCCCAAAGCAACAAAAUAUACCCACCGCUGCACUUUUGCCUCUCCUGCUUGUCUGUAAGUAGCACCUACAGACCUAACAGAGCCAGAGGUCAGAGGGCAAGGAAGCCUGAUGGAGGUCAGCGUCGCAGGGCACCAUGCAGGGUGGAACAGGGUGGAGAAUAAUUCUGAGGGGCAGAGGAAUUAUAAUCAGCAAAGCACUUAGGACAGUUUGUACUCAUAGGGCUGUUGUAGAGAUCACAGGCGACGUUGGUAAAACAGUGGCACUGUGCCAGUGUAUCCAAUAAACACCAGCUCUGCGUGUGCUUAGAAAAGUCUCUACUGAUGCUCUGGCUGCAUCAUAGAUCAGCCUGGAUUGGGCUGGAUGGUUACAAAGGUCUUAGGGAAGAGGCAUGGCCACUCACUUGCAGCUGUGUGUUCCAGUAUUUCCUGGGUGGCUCCAGCUGCCUGUAAAGUGACCUAGCUGUCAGAGCAACCAGAAAACAUCCUCAGCUACACCAGCAGGGACUGAAGGCUCAGCACGGACUGAGCUUCCAGUCCUGGCCACACUCCUCAGGAUGCAAGCCAAGGCCAUGGAGGGAGGGGUAUUCCAGCCCAAGGCAUCCUGCUUUUGGCCUAAGAACUGAUCUGAGUAAUGCAGCUCCCUGAUCUCAUACAGCAUGAGUUUGGCUACUGUAUACUAAGUUCCCAGCAGGUAUCGCUGUCACCACAGGAUGGCCCUCACAUUCCCUGGGCCUUCUUGUGCCUCUGACUUCUUGUUCCCUACUGCAUCAGGAGCUACCGUAAGCCUCCUUCAAUCUUCACACAACAGACAGAGAGAUCUUGUAGCCUUCAAGUCCACAUCUCCUGCACAUCAUCAGAGCUGCCCUGAGGCUCCAGGUCCCAGGGGCCUCGGUUUCCGUGCCCUUCGUGGUCAGAACUAAGUGGGUGCAGUUGUCUACUCUGGAAUUCCAGGAGACCCAGCUCAGCGCGGCCCUGGGGGAAAAGAAAGCCAGCUUUGCCUGACUGCCUGUCCUGGGGCACCACCAACAUCUUGUCCUAUCCACCCACCCCCCACAGCCCCUCAGGUCAGUAGCUGAUACCCGCAGGCUUUACUAUAAUCCUUUCUUUUCCAGCCACCCUGAAAGAUCCUGGCCUUAAAGAGAACUCCCUUUCCGCUGCCAAGAAGCUGAGGCAGGAGUUUCCCAUCUGGAAUGAGGAUGGAGAGAGCAGAGGCGAGGGACGCCUCAGCCGGGUGCGGGGGGGGGGCCGCUACCUCACAGCCCCAACUCCGGGAGUGGUCUCGGG
rnacentral:lncRNA from 1 species